UCCCUCGAUAGCUUAUUUGAAAGCUUUGGGUUUUUUCCCCGAGGGUGUAAUUGAUUUCUCGUUGGAG
rnacentral:tRNA from 1 species